AAUUAAACUAAGCACGUCACUACUGAAACAGCAGUGUGCUUACUUCAAUAAGUCAGUCAAUUGUCUUAUGUAGUAUACCAAUAAAUGCAGUUAUAAUGAACACAUAGAUACACAAUUUAAGAGAACAUCUGAGAUACUUUUUCCUAUUUUCAGUGUUGAUGUCCUCCCACCCAUGAACCCUAAGCAUCCCAAACCAGAAGCGUCUGCAGCCCAGCUACGUGAAGGAGACAUAGAAGAACCCGCUAUCCUCAGAAACUUGGAGACUGCUACCCUGGAUCCUGUGUGGAAGUUAAGGACAUUGUUGCUGUGGUGGGGGCCUGAGGACACUACUUCAUCCCAAUGUUGCUCUGACAUUUGAGUCUAAGAUUAAAGAAGAUUAAGACUAAAAAGGUAUGAAUGUGCACUUUUAACUUUUUAAUUUUUAAGACAAAUGUGAUACAUUUUAAUGAUUUAUUUUAUUGAUUUACCCCCCACACACACACUGCCUUUGCUUUUCUGUGUAUCUUUUCCCUUUUAAAGAAUAUCUUUAUCUUUAUGUAAUGUGCUGGGAUAGACCAAGGUACAAUAGGUGAAACUGAGUGAGGGCUGCAUUGUUCCAACAUGUUAGGCACAAGGCAGUAUGGGUAUGACAAAGUAGACAGAGAAUUGGGCAGGUGUAAAAUAGAGAGAAAGGUAAAAUUGUUGUAGAUGUCUAUGUCCUAAAAGACAUAAGUAAAUAUAUUAUUCUACUGAUUUAUAACUAUUUAUUUCCAUGUCUAAGGGAAGCUGCUGAUAAAGUUUUCUUUCUUAAAUUCACUGGAAAGGGCCAGAAUAUAGAGGAUGUGCCUACACUGGGGCAGACUAUAAGUUUGAGUCAAAAGGCUCCCAUAGUUUUUAAGAUCAUAAAUACCAUGCUUAUAGUAAUUAAAGGGUAAUCAAUGAAGUAUGUAUGCUUAUAGG
rnacentral:lncRNA from 1 species